rnacentral:rRNA from 1 species
UGGGGAAUUUUGGACAAUGGGCGAAAGCCUGAUCCAGCAAUGCCGCGUGUGUGAAGAAGGCCUUCGGGUUGUAAAGCACUUUUGUCCGGAAAGAAAUCCUCUGGGUUAAUACCUCGGGGGGAUGACGGUACCGGAAGAAUAAGCACCGGCUAACUACGUGCCAGCAGCCGCGGUAAUACGUAGGGUGCAAGCGUUAAUCGGAAUUACUGGGCGUAAAGCGUGCGCAGGCGGUUUUGUAAGACGGAUGUGAAAUCCCCGGGCUUAACCUGGGAACUGCAUUCGUGACUGCAAGGCUAGAGUAUGGCAGAGGGGGGUAGAAUUCCACGUGUAGCAGUGAAAUGCGUAGAGAUGUGGAGGAAUACCGAUGGCGAAGGCAGCCCCCUGGGCCAAUACUGACGCUCAUGCACGAAAGCGUGGGGAGCAAACAGGAUUAGAUACCCUGGUAGUCCACGCCCUAAACGAUGUCAACUAGUUGUUGGGGAUUCAUUUCCUUAGUAACGUAGCUAACGCGUGAAGUUGACCGCCUGGGGAGUACGGUCGCAAGAUUAAAACUCAAAGGAAUUGACGGGGUCAUAGCUGUUU